GGUUGGUGCCCUCUAGUGGUCAGAUUACCCAUGUUAUAAUCUGAGGUUAUGGCCUGACAGGUUGGUGCCCUCUAGUGGUCAGAUUACCAUGUUAUAAUCUGAGGUUAUGGCCUGACAGGUUGGUGCCCUCUAGUGGUCAGAUUACCAUGUAAUAAUCUGAGGUUAUGGCCUGACAGGUUGAUGCCCUCUAGUGGUCAGAUUACCAUGUUAUAAUCUGAGGUUAUGGCCUGACAGGUUGGUGCCCUCUAGUGGUCAGAUUACCCGUGUUAUAAUCUGAGGUUAUGGCCUGACAGGUUGGUGCCCUCUAGUGGUCAGAUUACCCGUGUUAUAAUCUGAGGUUAUGGCCUGACAGGUUGGUGCCCUCUAGUGGUCAGAUUACCCGUGUUAUAAUCUGAGGUUAUGGCCUGACAGGUUGGUGCCCUCUAGUGGUCAGAUUACCCGUGUUAUAAUCUGAGGUUAUGGCCUGACAGGUUGGUGCCCUCUAGUGGUCAGAUUACCCGUGUUAUAAUCUGAGGUUAUGGCCUGACAGGUUGGUGCCCUCUAGUGGUCAGAUUACCAUGUUAUAAUCUGAGGUUAUGGCCUGACAGGUUGGUGCCCUCUAGUGGUCAGAUUACCAUGUAAUAAUCUGAGGUUAUGGCCUGACAGGUUGAUGCCCUCUAGUGGUCAGAUUACCAUGUUAUAAUCUGAGGUUAUGGCCUGACAGGUUGGUGCCCUCUAGUGGUCAGAUUACCCGUGUUAUAAUCUGAGGUUAUGGCCUGACAGGUUGGUGCCCUCUAGUGGUCAGAUUACCCGUGUUAUAAUCUGAGGUUAUGGCCUGACAGGUUGGUGCCCUCUAGUGGUCAGAUUACCCGUGUUAUAAUCUGAGGUUAUGGCCUGACAGGUUGGUGCCCUCUAGUGGUCAGA